rnacentral:ribozyme from 1 species
UUUUUUUUUAUUUUUUUGCAUUUUGUUUUUUUUUUUUUUUUUUUUUCUGUGUUCGGGCUCGGGGGGGGAGGUUGUCGGCAAUAAAGUACGAACAGUUUCAGAAAGGUGAAGAACGGGCAUGGUGUAGAGAACAGUGAGAAGGUUCCAAGACUUAUUGUUUUUUUUUU